rnacentral:rRNA from 1 species
GUGGGAGCACCCUUUGGGGUGUGACUGCGUACCUUUUGUAUAAUGGGUCAGCGACUUAUAUUCUGUAGCAAGGUUAACCGUAUAGGGGAGCCGGAGGGAAACCGAGUCUUAACCGGGCGUUAAGUUGCAGGGUAUAGACCCGAAACCCGGUGAUCUAGCCAUGGGCAGGUUGAAGGUUGGGUAACACUAACUGGAGGACCGAACCGACUAAUGUUGAAAAAUUAGCGGAUGACCUGUGGCUGGGGGUGAAAGGCCAAUCAAACCGGGAGAUAGCUGGUUCUCCCCGAAAGCUAUUUAGGUAGCGCCUCGUGAAUUCAUCUCCGGGGGUAGAGCACUGUUUCGGCUAGGGGGCCAUCCCGGCUUACCAACCCGAUGCAAACUGCGAAUACCGGAGAAUGUUAUCACGGGAGACACACGGCGGGUGCUAACGUCCGUCGUGAAGAGGGAAACAACCCAGACCGCCAGCUAAGGUCCCAAAGUCAUGGUUAAGUGGGAAACGAUGUGGGAAGGCCCAGACAGCCAGGAUGUUGGCUUAGAAGCAGCCAUCAUUUAAAGAAAGCGUAAUAGCUCACUGGUCGAGUCGGCCUGCGCGGAAGAUGUAACGGGGCUAAACCAUG